rnacentral:rRNA from 1 species
GUUAUCCUGUUUCUCUCACCGCUCGCGUUGUCGGAAGCAAAACGGUAUAUCUAGUACCGAACCUCCACGGUGUACCUGUACCAAGAAGACGAGCAAUAUGACCUCUAGUAAGACGAGUAACGCUGCCGCGGGGCUCCCGACCGCCUAAGCACACGGGCACCCAAACCUACAGUGGUUCCACUAGGACUGACCGGGCCUACACAAACGGCGUGUUCUGAAACAUGAACGCCGGCAAUUAGUUCUGACAUGAAGGGAGUUUUUUAUAUAGUUCUAACAUAAAAUAUACAAAUCCCGCGAUCGCGGCUAGUCUAUGUUUCAGAUUGUAAGGGGGGACAGCUUUCUUCUAGAUCACAGGGGCGUUUCUUUCUUUCUUUCUUCUAGAUCACACCGACCAAUUUCAAGUAGUACAAACAACAUGUUUCUAGUCGGGCGACCGUAUACAAACUCAGGAUCUAUCUCAAAACAAAGUCAAAACUUAAGACAAAUCCCUCCUCAUGAGGACAUUUUACCGAAAAUUGUCCAGAUCCAACGUAGCAGAAAAAAAUAGUGGGCCCGACGUACAACAUUCCUGGUUUGGACAAUCCAAAACUGAGAGGCACGAAUGGCACG